CCUGUUACAGUUUUCGUGCUGCUUAGCACAAUAAAAAGCAUUCAAAGAGAGGCGGGCGCAAGAAAGAGAAGUGCGGUGAAGGAAGAGAUGAAAAGACAGAUGUCAGCACCGUCGUGCCCAUAGACGCCGCGAGCUGCCACCGGCGGCACAAAGACACAUGAUUAACAGCAAGGGCCGGGCAGCGCUAACUGUGCCGCUCGAUCAAAGGCAGCUGCUGAUUGAUCGUCCCCAGCCCAGGUCUGUGGCAGUCCCGGGAGGGCCCCUCCAUCUCACCCUGCUCCCUCUGAGCCGGCAGCUGCGGAGCGGGGCUGGAAGGCGGUGGGAGCUGCGGCGGUGUGUGAGCCGUGCAGAGGACCAGAUGUGCCGCGGGUCGUCUUCCACUGGUGAAGACAAGUUCUAGGCAAACUGAGCUAGCAGUAUAGCAGGUAUGAGAAGAAUGAAUACUUGGUAUCCUGCACCAGGGCCUUCCCAGAGCUGGCCGGCCUUGAAGGGAACAUUAACGAGGAGACUUCAGGGACAUCAUCAACUUGGCAAGAACACCCAUGGUCUGUGAGUCCUGAGCUGAACUGCCUCCAUUAGAAUACUACAGUCACACCCACGGGUCAGAAAGACUCCUGCCUGGGUUCUUCUGGCUUGGGAGCUGAAUGCUGUGAAGAGGAAACGCUGCGCUUAUUGGGGAUGCAGCAGCUGAGUGGGACCACGUCAGGAAGGCUCGAACACAAAAAUAGCAGCCCUGCUGUUGUUCGGUUACACCCCAAUGUUUGGUUUCUUGUUUCCCUUUUUUUAAGCUCACCAUGUGUGUGCUGACUGCGCUUCUUUUGCAGUUCUGUGAAACACAAAGGUGGGGAGAGAACCAAACUUCUGUUUGUCACCCAGUCCUCUCCCUGCAGCGCCCAGAGGGAGCUGUGCCACCAUCCCCAGGAGAGAUGUGUCAGCUCCAGGAUGGAUGGUUCCUCCGGUGCCAUUCCAUGUGUCUCUUAUGAAGACCUCCUUCUCACCAGGCCAGGAAAGUCCCAGCACAUCCUAAGCAUAGCCACGGCUGCUUUACAGAGAAAAAGCUGCACUGAGUUGUGCUGGCACAGUGGCAUAUCCAUCAGCUAUUAUUUAAAUGUGUAUAAAUUCAUAGAAGAGUAAACAUAUGUUGAUAUAAAAGUCUAAAGGAGGAAAAGAAAAAGAGGACAAAAGAUAUAUUGUCAUAAGACAAAGAAAAAAGUACAAGCAUGCGAGAAGCCUUUCCGCCUGGAUGACAUAGCCACGAAGCACAGCUCCAAAGCCUCCAAAGCACUACAGUACUCAUUCCCAGCCCAGAGGUGCUGGUUACUUCAUAAGAGAUGCCCAGGAGCAAAUCCCUGCUUGGAGCAGGGGGGCAGGGCAGUGCUGCUCAACUGCUCACCGCGCCGGCUCUGCACAGCGCUGCAGCCCGCAGAAAACUUCCAUCUACUGCGGGCUGUCCAGAAACAGUGAGAACCCCAGGUGCUGAGCUCUCUGAAAGCUGGGAACAAAGCCUGAGUUAGCCAGCUCCAAAGGCAAAAUUAAUGUCACUGCUAGAAAAUAAAGCAGUGACCUUGACUACCUGCAUGAAGUGUAAGAGCGAGCUGUACUUCCUGCGCUGCCAUCUCACGGCAUUGCAGUGGGACACCAACUGAGCUCUUGCUGUGACAGUAUCAGCAAAGACAGGACCCCGCGUGGCAGGGCGGGUGUCCCAAAGCACUGGCACUUUGGGGAUGUACACGGAUGCUACAGCUCCCACGCCUGAGGAGUAAAACACACGAGCAGCACAGGCAUCCCCACAACACCAGCCGUGUACUCACCCACAGCAGUGCCACGCGAUGCUUCCAAUCCAACUGGCAGCUGCCACAGCCCCGCAAUGACAACACAGCCUACGUGCUCACAGUGACUCCAGGCCAGCUUUUCUUGUCUGAGAGACAAUAUUUUGGGGGAGAUUUUAAUUUAAAAUCACUUUGAAGGCUGGUGUGAAGAGAGAAGAGCCUUCUCUUCCUAUUUAAAAUACUCCAGAGAGGCAGUCAGCUCUUGAGAAAGAGCCGUGCCUGAAGAUCCUGUCCUGACAAGAGGAAAAUCAGAACAAACAGGACAAGGGGAGAGAGGAGACGAGGAGACAGGACGUGGAAUCACACACAGCUCAGUGCAGAGCUGCAGCCCGCGUGGGCCAAGCACCAGCAGCACUUUCUCCAGUGCUCACAGCCUCAGUUGCUGAAUGGCAGUUCAGUGUCACCAAACCAUACACAGAAGCCCAGAUCUCACUCUUGUUGCUGGGUGCUAUUUACCUGCACUCCGGGUAUUCAUUUUUCAUCCUCGCUCUCUUCUAAGAGCAAUAUCACUCCAAGUAGCUCUGCAACUGCAGGCAGCUCUCAUUCCCCACCAUCCCCUGCUUCAGGCUGCCUUGUCACACACCAAAAAAGUCAGCUGCACUGACUGCUCCCACAGCUCUGUGCACAUCACAGGCUGAAGGCCCUUCUCAGCCCCUCUCUCCUCCUUUACAAGCACACUGGAUGCCUCGUGUCUGCAGGCAGCAUGACCUGACCUCUGUAGGUCUGCACAGCACCUGACUGCCACGAGCAGCCCCACGGCCCUCCUGCAGCCACCACGCAGCACCAGCAGCCCUCUCACUUCCCGUCUGGUCAUCUGCUCAUUCUCUGCUCACUUAAAUGUGUGUGUGGAACAGGGCAUUUUGGCAGAGGAUUUGUCUGGGGGUUUAGUUAUCUCUUGUCCCCAGACAGACAAGCAGAUAGCCCAGAAAUACUUGUAGAAAAAGGACAAAAGCUGUAUCUGGCAUUAACGGUUCCUUUCUCUUCUACAAGGCUAAGGGAAGCAGUGCUGGGAGUGGCAGUUCUUUCUCAGUCGCCAUCCCGACGGUUCCUCUAUCUCACUUCUUUAGGCUCUGGCAUCCUUCCCGUG
ensembl:lncRNA